UACAGAGGUCCCAAGCGUUGUUCGGAUUCAUUGGGCGUAAAGGGUGCGUAGGCGGCGCGGUAAGUCGGGUGUGAAAUCUCGGAGCUUAACUCCGAAACUGCAUUCGAUACUGCCGUGCUUGAGGACUGGAGAGGAGACUGGAAUUUACGGUGUAGCGGUGAAAUGCGCAGAUAUCGGGAGGAACACCAGUAGCGAAGGCGGCUCGCUGGGCCAUACCUGACGCUGAGACGCGAAAGCGUGGGGAGCAAACAGG
rnacentral:rRNA from 1 species